GGUUUUAAGAUUAAAAAUUUAAAAUCGGACCUGCUCAAUGAAUAUUAAAUGGCCGCAGUAUUUUGACUGUGCAAAGGUAGCAUAAUAAUUAGGCUAUUAAUUGUAGUCUUGAAUGAAAGGUUUGACGUAGGCUAACUUUUUUAUUUGUAUGGUUGAAUUUUAAGUAUUAGUAAAAAUGCUAAUAUGGCGCAUAAAGACGAGAAGACCCUAUUGAGUUUUAUAUAGUUAAAUUUAAUGGAGGGUGGAGGAUUUAUUAAGUUUUGUAUAUUUGGUUGGGGCGAUUAAUAUAAUAAAACAUAUUAUUUAUGUAAUUUUAUUGGAUCCAUUAUUAAUGAUUAAUAGAAUAAAUUACUAUAGGGAUAACAGCAUAAUUCUGUUGUAGAGUUCUUAUCGAUAAUAGAGUUUGUGACCUCGAUGUUGAAUUAAGAUACCUAGGGACGCAGGAGUUUUUUAAGGUAGACUGUUCGUCUAUUAAAUUCUUACA
rnacentral:rRNA from 1 species